rnacentral:tRNA from 1 species
GACCGCGUAGCUCAGUUGGAAGAGCAUUGGGCUAGUACUCCAAAGGUCGUAGGUUUGAAUCCCACCGUGGUCA